rnacentral:rRNA from 1 species
UACGUAGGGGGCAAGCGUUGUCCGGAAUCAUUGGGCGUAAAGCGCGCGUAGGCGGCCCUGUAAGUCCGUUGUGAAAGUCAAAGGCUCAACCUUUGAAAGCCGAUGGAUACUGCAGGGCUAGAGUCCGGAAGAGGCGAGUGGAAUUCCUGGUGUAGCGGUGGAAUGCGCAGAUAUCAGGAGGAACACCAAUGGCGAAGGCAGCACUCUGGGACGUGACUGACGCUGAGACGCGAAAGCGUGGGGAGCAAACAGG